rnacentral:lncRNA from 1 species
UGACACUUUUUGCCUUUGGUUUCAAAUGGACUUAGGUAGCACCUCACGGCCAGUGACAGCCUAGCUCAACAAGGACAGGCUGGGCCAUUCUGCAAUUGCAGGGUAAAGCAGAGAGGGAAGGAAAAGACUUAAAGACCUUUGAGCUCCUUCAUGGUUUCAGAGUUCUAAGACUCUGCCAGACCCCUGGGUGCGUGUCAGCCAGCCCCUAUUGCUACUCCAAUCUGCGUGGCUUGGGGCUUCCCCAGACAUCCAACAUGGCAAGUAAGGUGACUCCAGUUUGGCUCUUCAGUCUUUAGAAGUGGAGGAAACAGAGGGAAAGACCAAAAAAGGAGCACCCACGACACACUCAGAGCCAGGCAGAAAGGGAGGAGCUCAGACUCUCCAAAGUCCAGGCCUCAGGGUUCCCACCUGGGGCGCCAAGAGAUGAAGUCAUGGGAGAGAAGCAGUUAUCACCAGAGAAGGGUCCUCAGAGAGGGAACUGCACUCAGGGGAGUUCCCGUAUACACGUGAUGAAAAAGAAAUUUUCAGCAAAUGUCAACAGAGGUACAGAUUUAUUUAGGAAAGCUGAGCACACACAUUCAAGGGAGAAGGCAGCUACCUCCAAAGUGAGGGAUGUGUUUUGGGGGUUCCUGGCUCUUCUUUUGAAUAAAACUUAGGAGUGUGGGCAUUGCAAGGUAUGUAGGGAUAUCAAGAGGUAUAUGUACACAAUGGAAUAUUAGUCAGCCUUAAAGAAUGAAAUUAUAGCAUUUGCAGGUAAAUGGAUGGGGGUGGAGAAUAUCAUGCUAAGUGAAAUAAGCCAAACCCAAAGAACAAAAAGGCCGAAUGUUUUCUCUGCUAAGC